GGGUGCUGGAUGCCCUGACAUCAGCGUUACAGGCAAUGGUGAACAGCCCAAGGUGCCUUCUACUUGGAAAGAGGAACUAACCCAAAUGCAUCUACCAGUUAUUGGCAAGUGUACAGCUUUCAUUGAAGACAAGUACACAUUUUCAAACAGUGAAAUGCCCAGCAUACACCAGAUUAGAAGAAUAAUGUCCACUCCUUGGUAUUUUCAUCAUAGUGACAACAAUGUAAUGUCAAAGGAUAUUUCUGCAGGAUGGAACUGCAACCCUUCAGGCCUAUACGGUGAAUCAAAAUUACAUAAAAGUCUACAAGUGAACACAAGAAAGGAGGCAGCCACUGUCACUGUUUGGAGAAUGCAGGUCAUUACUGAACUGGCCUUGACAUACAGAAGAAAAUGCAGAUGCUAGGCGCAACAUCAUGAACAGGGAAAGCCUCUCAUUGCCUAUCACUUUGAAGACCAGGCUGGUUGGUCUCAUGAGCCUUGACGACGCUUCUGUUUCUGCCUCCCCACUCCCAAAGCCCCAGGAUUCCAGACCUGUGCUACAGUAUCUGGCUUUUAUGUGAAUUCAGGGACAAAAGUUCAAUUCCUCACACUUGUUUGGGCUGGGGAAGAACCAGGACAUCCGUGUUUGCUUCACAAUAUUUUACCACUGGUUCUACUCAAUGAAAUAAGGCGAGAUGAAAAGGACAAAGCAAAGGGAAGAGGAUCCUCCAGUUCCACCUUACGCUGCACUUGAACUUGUAAAGCUCGUGGAAGAAGGAAAGUAUCUUCAUGGCAUUAAAGCAUGCAUAUUCUAAGAAAGAGAGGCUAUAAAAACCCCAAAUACCUGCAGUAGGAAUGGUAGGCCAGAAGCUCAUUUAUUCAGAGAAAAUUCAACUGAGAACUACAAGUGACUGCCUCAACUUUCCCCAUCAAUUUCUGAUUCUCACGAUGUUACUCCAGUUGGUGUUCAACUUGUGAGUUCCAGUGAUCCUCCUGCCUCAGCUUCCUAAGUGCUUGAUACUACUGGUACUUGCUUCCAUGCCUAGCUUUCUUCUCUUCUCUUUUCUUUUUUCUCUUCUUUACUUUCUUUCUUUCUCCCUCUCUUUCUUUCUUUCUCUCUUUCUUUCUUUCCAAUGUUGGAAUGAACGAAUAAAUGUAUCAUCAUAUUUUAGUCACAUAAACAUUUGCUUUACUUGCUUGACACCCAUUUCUCCUCCCUCUGGAAUUGUUACUUCCAUUACUCUGCAGGGAACCACCCCUUCUCCAUGCUCCAUGCUCCAUGGUUUGGUGGGGACAAGGUGAAGUGUGGAAAGAUGACUUUGACUCUAACCUUAAGUUCUAGCAAAAUUAUCUAGUCCCUUCUUUUGGCCAUGAUUCACAGAUAGGUAUAUAGUUUCAGAUAGACUGAAUCUUUGGAAUUUUGCUGGGUUCACUAUAAAAUCAAUAUUUUUGAACUUGGUAUGAUGAAGAAUUAAAUCGGGAAUUUCCAGCAGAAGUAACAAAAUUACUAGGGUAAGGAUGAGCAAGAACGAAGUGAAUGGAGAAGUUAGGAUGCUGCAAUUAGGAAGGUUGAGAAACACUGGUUUAAAUAGAGAGAUGAUAGAUACAUGAUAGACAGAAAGGAAGGUAGACAAUUGAUAGAUGGUAGGUUGUAAAUAGAUAAUAGAUCCCUUAUACUCAUCAUCCAUGUGGCUCUUAGGGGCUAGAUUGCUUUUCUGAGUGCAGCAUGGCACUCCCAUGCUUUCAUUGGCUUGGAUUGACUCAGAGCUCUUCAUACAUGGGCUCAGCAUAUCCAAUUCAACAUGCCAGUUAUGCAUUCUACUGCUGGAAACUGAAGGCAGACUUCGUUAUACCAGGGUAUAUCAAAGGACAGAUAGCUUAAUUAAAUAGCCAUUUGGUGUUAAAAUUACAGGGAUGAUGUCAUUUAUAUCAUUUUGUGGGGACAAGAAACACAGGACAAAACACCAAGACCUCAGUGAAAAGUUUCAGGGAUUUGUCUCAAAGUCGAUUAUCUAUUAUGAGAUGUGAUUACAACUACUUAUGAUUUUUUUCACAGUUGGAAAAGACUAACUGAGGAGACAUGAAUCAAGGCCGAGAAAAAAAGUAUUCAAAUCUGCUUUGACUAUGACAGGGAAUUUGGGAUCAGGGAACCUAGUUAGUUUUCCACAGAAGCAGUAAUCAAUACAAGCACAAGGAACAUGGGAGUCUCGCUUCAUUGGU
rnacentral:sRNA from 1 species